CCUACGGGUGGCAGCAGUGAGGAAUAUUGGUCAAUGGGCGCGAGCCUGAACCAGCCAAGUAGCGUGAAGGAUGACUGCCCUACGGGUUGUAAACUUCUUUUAUAAAGGAAUAAAGUUAGGCACGUGUGCAUGUUUGUAUGUACUUUAUGAAUAAGGAUCGGCUAAUUCCGUGCCAGCAGCCGCGGUAAUACGGAGGAUCCGAGCGUUAUCCGGAUUUAUUGGGUUUAAAGGGAGCGUAGAUGGGUCUUUAAGUCAGUUGUGAAAGUUUGCGGCUCAACCGUAAAAGUGCAAUUGAUACUGGCGACCUUGAGUGCAUGUGAGGUAGGCGGAAUUCGUGGUGUAGCGGUGAAAUGCUUAGAUAUCACGAAGAACCCCGAGUGCGAAGGCAGCCUGCUAAACUGUCACUGACACUGAUGCUCGAAAGUGUGGGUAUCAAACAGGAUUAGAUACCCUUGUAGUC
rnacentral:rRNA from 1 species